UACGGAGGAUCCGAGCGUUAUCCGGAUUUAUUGGGUUUAAAGGGUGCGCAGGCGGAAUGUUAAGUCGGCGGUGAAAUUUUGCAGCUCAACUGUAAAAGUGCCUUCGAAACUGGCCUUCUUGAGUAUGGAUGAAGUAGGCGGAAUUUGUGGUGUAGCGGUGAAAUGCAUAGAUAUCACGAGGAACUCCGAUUGCGAAGGCAGCUUACUAAACCAUAACUGACGCUCAUGCACGAAGGCGUGGGGAUCGAACAGG
rnacentral:misc_RNA from 1 species